rnacentral:rRNA from 1 species
GACGAACGCUGGCGGCGUGCCUAAUACAUGCAAGUCGAACGCAUUUUCUUUCACCGUAGCUUGCUACACCGAAAGAAAAUGAGUGGCGAACGGGUGAGUAACACGUGGGUAACCUGCCCAUCAGCGGGGGAUAACACUUGGAAACAGGUGCUAAUACCGCAUAAUUCCAUUUACCGCAUGGUAAAUGGAUGAAAGGCGCUUUUGCGUCACUGAUGGAUGGACCCGCGGUGCAUUAGCUAGUUGGUGGGGUAACGGCCUACCAAGGCUGCGAUGCAUAGCCGACCUGAGAGGGUGAUCGGCCACACUGGGACUGAGACACGGCCCAGACUCCUACGGGAGGCAGCAGUAGGGAAUCUUCGGCAAUGGACGCAAGUCUGACCGAGCAACGCCGCGGGAGUGAAGAAGGGUUUCGGAUCGUAAAACUCUGUUGUUAGAGAAGAACAAGGAUGAGAGUGGAAAGUUCAUCCCUUGACGGUAUCUAACCAGAAAGCCACGGCUAACUACGUG